rnacentral:lncRNA from 10 species
GACAUUGAGUGCCUGGAGCCCUCCCUAGCUCUCCAGCUGGAACCUUCCUCUGUAGGAAGGCUGAGGCUAGCAGGGAGAAGCCAGGAUGGAUUUUAAAGAGCCUUGUUGUCUCUAAGGAAGAGUGGAGCUUACAUCUUUGGGUUUGCAGAAAUGCCCACAUUCAACUCAGGGGGAAUAAAAGGAUGGGAGUUAGAAUUUCAACUUGCAGUUGCAGAAUCUCAGAGUUAAAAGAAACCUCAGAGGUCAUCUCUUCCAACCCUUCUCCAGAGCAGCUUUAAUUGCCUGUGUGGGAGAUUCAGGGCCAGCAGCUGCAGCUUCCCUUUCCCUGCCUCUGACUUGCCAGAAUCCUGUUACACCUGGGAUUUAGGCACUUUCAAUCUGAAAAAAUACAUAUCCUUUCAGCACUCUGGACGGACUUGAGAACUGUCCUUACGUGACCUAAAGCUGGAGUAUUUUGAGAUUGGAGAAUUAAGGCCUUCAGUGGGUUGAAUGAGGCCCAACCCACAUUGAAGAGGACCAUCUGCUUUACUCAGUCUCCUGGUUGAAGUGAUAAUCUCAUCUGGACAUACUCAGAA